rnacentral:piRNA from 1 species
GUGCAUUGGUUAUGUGCCCUGGCUGC